GCCAGUGUGGCAUUGUGGUUUGAGCAUUGGACUAUGACUCUGGAGACCAGGGUUCGAUUCCCACCUUAGCCA
rnacentral:tRNA from 1 species